rnacentral:rRNA from 1 species
GCACAAGCGGUGGAUGAUGUGGUUUAAUUCGAUGCAACGCGAAAAACCUUACCUACCCUUGACAUGCUAGGAAUCUUGCAGAGAUGUGAGAGUGCUCGAAAGAGAACCUAGACACAGGUGCUGCAUGGCCGUCGUCAGCUCGUGUCGUGAGAUGUUGGGUUAAGUCCCGCAACGAGCGCAACCCUUGUCAUUAGUUGCUACGAAAGGGCACUCUAAUGAGACUGCCGGUGACAAACCGGAGGAAGGUGGGGAUGACGUCAGGUCCUCAUGGCCCUUAUGGGUAGGGCUACACACGUCAUACAAUGGCCGGUACAGAGGGUUGCCAACCCGCGAGGGGGAGCUAAUCCCAGAAAACCGGUCGUAGUCCGGAUCGUAGUCUGCAACUCGACUGCGUGAAGUCGGAAUCGCUAGUAAUCGCGGAUCAGCUUGCCGCGGUGAAUACGUUCCCGGGUCUUGUACACACCGCCCGUCACACCAUGGGAGCGGGUUCUGCCAGAAGUAGUUAGCCUAACCGCAAGGAGGGCGAUUACCACGGCAGGGUUCGUGACUGGG